GGGCCUGACUACUUCCCCCUUCCUCCUGCUCUUGCUUCCUCUUGGCUUUCAGAUCAGGGUGCAAGUGAUCGAGGGGCGCCAGCUGCCAGGGGUGAAUAUCAAGCCUGUGGUCAAAGUCACGGCUGCCGGGCAGACCAAGAGGACACGGAUCCACAAGGGAAACAGCCCACUCUUCAACGAGACUCUCUUCUUCAAUGUGUUUGACUCUCCCUCGGAGCUGUUUGACGAGCCCAUCUUUAUCACGGUGGUAGACUCCCGUUCUCUCCGGACAGACGCUCUCAUUGGGGAAUUCCGGAUGGACGUGGGUACCAUCUACAGAGAGCCCCGACACGCCUAUCUGAGGAAAUGGCUUCUCCUCUCGGACCCUGACGAUUUCUCUGCUGGGGCCAGAGGUUACCUGAAAGCAAGCCUCUGUGUGCUGGGGCCCGGCGAUGAAGCGCCUGUGAGUACCUCGGGCCCUCCUCACAUCUCUAUCUGGCAGGAGAGGACCAGACAAACAAACAAAAACACAACUUUAGUUUUUCUGAUUUUAAAAAUACAUGAGAUGUGUUAGAAAUGUAGAGAACGUGCAAAAGUGUCAAUAAAA